rnacentral:rRNA from 1 species
GAUGAACGCUGGUGGCGUGCCUAACACAUGCAAGUCGAGCGAUUCUCUUCGGAGAAGAGCGGCGGACGGGUGAGUAACGCGUGGGUAACCUGCCCUGUACGCACGGAUAACAUACCGAAAGGUAUGCUAAUACGAGAUAACAUGCUUUUAUCGCAUGGUAGAAGUAUCAAAGCUUUUGCGGUACAGGAUGGACCCGCGUCUGAUUAGCUAGUUGGUGAGGUAACGGCUCACCAAGGCGACGAUCAGUAGCCGACCUGAGAGGGUGAUCGGCCACAUUGGAACUGAGACACGGUCCAAACUACUACGGGAGGCAGCAGUGGGGAAUAUUGCACAAUGGGCGAAAGCCUGAUGCAGCAACGCCGCGUGAGCGAUGAAGGCCUUCGGGUCGUAAAGCUCUGUCCUCAAGGAAGAUAAUGACGGUACUUGAGGAGGAAGCCCCGGCUAACUACGUG